CGUUCAACCGCAAAACAAGCAGAGGGGGCUUAGUGGUGGGGUGACUGCGUACCUUUUGUAUAAUGGGUCAGCGACUUAUAUUCUGUAGCAAGGUUAACCGAAUAGGGGAGCCGGAGGGAAACCGAGUCUUAAUUGGGCGUUAAGUUGCAGGGUAUAGACCCGAAACCCGGUGAUCUAGCCAUGGGCAGGUUGAAGGUUGGGUAACACUAACUGGAGGACCGAACCGACUAAUGUUGAAAAAUUAGCGGAUGACCUGUGGCUGGGGGUGAAAGGCCAAUCAAACCGGGAGAUAGCUGGUUCUCCCCGAAAGCUAUUUAGGUAGCGCCUCGUGAAUUCAUCUCCGGGGGUAGAGCACUGUUUCGGCUAGGGGGCCAUCCCGGCUUACCAACCCGAUGCAAACUGCGAAUACCGGAGAAUGUUAUCACGGGAGACACACGGCGGGUGCUAACGUCCGUCGUGAAGAGGGAAACAACCCAGACCGCCAGCUAAGGUCCCAAAGUCAUGGUUAAGUGGGAAACGAUGUGGGAAGGCCCAGACAGCCAGGAUGUUGGCUUAGAAGCAGCCAUCAUUUAAAGAAAGCGUAAUAGCUCACUGGUCGAGUCGGCCUGCGCGGAAGAUGUAACGGGGCUAAACCAUGCACCGAAGCUGCGGCAGCGAACGUAUCACCCAAGACAACUUUACGGAGUUGACGAUUGACGGAGCGAAGCGACGUCAAAGCGUUCAUUAAAGUCGAGUUGGCUUAGGGAUACGUUCGUUGGGUAGGGGAGCGUUCUGUAAGCCUGUGAAGGUGUGUCGUGAGGCAUGCUGGAGGUAUCAGAAGUGCGAAUGCUGACAUAAGUAACGAUAAAGCGGGUGAAAAGCCCGCUCGCCGGAAGACCAAGGGUUCCUGUCCAACGUUAAUCGGGGCAGGGUGAGUCGACCCCUAAGGCGAGGCCGAAAGGCGUAGUCGAUGGGAAACGGGUUAAUAUUCCCGUACUUGGUGUUACUGCGAAGGGGGGACGGAGAAGGCUAUGUUGGCCGGGCGACGGUUGUCCCGGUUUAAGCGUGUAGGUGUGUGUUCCAGGUAAAUCCGGUUCACUUUAACACUGAGGCGUGACGACGAGGCACUACGGUGCUGAAGCAACAAAUGCCCUGCUUCCAGGAAAAGCCUCUAAGCAUCAGGUAACAUCAAAUCGUACCCCAAACCGACACAGGUGGUCAGGUAGAGAAUACCAAGGCGCUUGAGAGAACUCGGGUGAAGGAACUAGGCAAAAUGGUGCCGUAACUUCGGGAGAAGGCACGCUGACACGUAGGUGAAGUGAUUUACUCAUGGAGCUGAAGUCAGUCGAAGAUACCAGCUGGCUGCAACUGUUUAUUAAAAACACAGCACUGUGCAAACACGAAAGUGGACGUAUACGGUGUGACGCCUGCCCGGUGCCGGAAGGUUAAUUGAUGGGGUCAGCGCAAGCGAAGCUCCUGAUCGAAGCCCCGGUAAACGGCGGCCGUAACUAUAACGGUCCUAAGGUAGCGAAAUUCCUUGUCGGGUAAGUUCCGACCUGCACGAAUGGCGUAAUGAUGGCCAGGCUGUCUCCACCCGAGACUCAGUGAAAUUGAACUCGCUGUGAAGAUGCAGUGUACCCGCGGCAAGACGGAAAGACCCCGUGAACCUUUACUAUAGCUUGACACUGAACAUUGAGCCUUGAUGUGUAGGAUAGGUGGGAGGCUUUGAAGUGUGGACGCCAGUCUGCAUGGAGCCGACCUUGAAAUACCACCCUUUAAUGUUUGAUGUUCUAACGUGGACCCGUAAUCCGGGUUGCGGACAGUGUCUGGUGGGUAGUUUGACUGGGGCGGUCUCCUCCUAAAGAGUAACGGAGGAGCACGAAGGUUGGCUAAUCCUGGUCGGACAUCAGGAGGUUAGUGCAAUGGCAUAAGCCAGCUUGACUGCGAGCGUGACGGCGCGAGCAGGUGCGAAAG
rnacentral:rRNA from 1 species